rnacentral:rRNA from 1 species
UACGGAGGGUGCAAGCGUUGUCCGGAUUUAUUGGGUUUAAAGGGUGCGUAGGUGGCUUUAUAAGUCAGCGGUGAAAGACGGCAGCUCAACUGUCGCAGUGCCGUUGAUACUGUAGAGCUUGAGUACUGAUGAGGUAGGCGGAAUUGAUAGUGUAGCGGUGAAAUGCAUAGAUAUUAUCAAGAACACCGAUUGCGAAGGCAGCUUACUAAGGAGUUACUGACACUGAGGCACGAAAGCGUGGGGAUCAAACAGG